CCUACGGGUGACAGCAGUGGGGAAUAUUGGACAAUGGGGGGAACCCUGAUCCAGCGACGCCGCGUGAGUGAAGAAGUAUUUCGGUAUGUAAAGCUCUAUCAGCAGGGAAGAAAGAAAUGACGGUACCUGACUAAGAAGCCCCGGCUAACUACGUGCCAGCAGCCGCGGUAAUACGGAGGGGGCAAGCGUUAUCCGGAUUUACUGGGUGUAAAGGGAGCGUAGGCGGCGAUGCAAGUCUGAAGUGAAAGGCGGGGGCCCAACCCCCGGACUGCUUUGGAAACUGUAUGGCUGGAGUGCAGGAGAGGUAAGUGGAAUUCGUAGUGUAGCGGUGAAAUGCGUAGAUAUUAGGAGGAACACCAGUGGCGAAGGCGGCUUACUGGACUGUAACUGACGUUGAGGCUCGAAAGCGUGGGGAGCAAACAGGAUUAGAUACCCCUGUAGUC
rnacentral:rRNA from 1 species